AGGGCAUUUUCUGCUGUAGAAGCGUUUUUUUUUUCUUCUUCUUCUUCUUUUUUUGUUGGUUAAUUUCGGUUUGUGCUGUUUGGAGUUUAGAUUUUGAAUUGUUGCUGAUACGUGCUGGCAGGAUGUUUCAGUAGGAAAUCAAAUAUUUGGUGUUUUGAUGUAGCGUUUGAUUAUCAGUCGGUCUCGUGGAAAACCUGACAGUAAAGUUGUAUUUGUUUUUUCAUUUACAAAAUCAUAAACCCAAUGUUGUAACGCAUAAUGUUUUAAUUACUCAGUCAAGACAUGUACAUAUUUUAAGCAAGAAAUCAUUUCCUUUGUAUUUUUUUAUUUUAUUUUAUUACUUUUAUUAAAUUUUGUGUUAAAUUUGAUUUCAGUACACAGGAAACGGUUUUGUUUAUUUUUAUUUUUGUCUAGGUCGUGUUUUUUUCUUUCUUUUUAUUGUUUUUCUUAUCCAGAGUUGCUGAUUGGUUGAUGAUCGUGGUGCGUUUUCACACAUGGCGGCGCCCACGUGAAGACGCUGUGAUUCACCGUUGAUGGAUUCCUGGACGAUGUGAACCGUGUUGGACAGAUGUUCUCUGUAAAUGGACAUGUGAGGUAACAUUAUUUGUGUAAUUUUGCACUGGAAGGUUAACAGUUACACAUGCAUAUAGUUAGUCUGUUUCAUUCGUUGGAUUUGGUGAAGUACUUAAUGUUCUCUUCUUAAAUUAGGUGCACUGUCAUCAACCUGAGUGGUAGCCAAGCUGUUGGUGAGCUUGCUUCGAAAUCAAAAGGUUCCCAGUACAAGACCACCUGUGCCCGUUCUACAUGUAAUGUGGUGUUGCAUCAGUUAGGGCAUCCAGCAUAAAACGUGUGUCUAAUCAACGUGCAGAUCCAUGUGUGAUCUUCGAUCGUGAGCAAAAAAGGAGAAGCUGAAAAACUUUAAACCUGUCGUUCUCUGUUGUAGUGCAGCAUCAAACCAGGACUUAUGACUGGAGUUUCUCCUUUUAUAAGCAUCCUUCAUCCAUUCACAAGCUGCAGAUCGUCCACGUCUCCGCAACAUCCCACUGCUUAGAACUGCCAUUUAACUUCUCAAAUUACGCUCUAUUUUCUUUUCCCUCAUCUCUUCCUUUUUCCAUCCAAAAUCUGACUUUAGCUGCAAACUGUUGUCCCUGUGUGCUCCAAUCUGAACGGGAAUCACUAUGGUAACAGAACAGCGUCAUCCUAUCAUGUAGGAGGUCGUCUUGAUAAUGUGGUGCGAAAAAAAAGGGGCAAUUCUGCAAGCUCCAUCGUUCAAAUUUCCAGCCGUUUUAUGUGUUUGAGAAAAUUAAACUCUCAGCCUAAAGUAUUUAGAGAAAGUUUGUGAGAUUGUUGUGUAGCUGAAGCAUCAGUUUACAGCCUUAAUCCAGAGCUGCACACACCAUCCUGGAAGUGGCAGUCUCAAGGCUAUUUAUUUCUUCUCUCUCCCCUUCUUUAAUGCCUCUGCCUCGCCCUGUAAUGACUCUGUCUCGGCCUCUGUAUUGUCCGGCCUCAAGGAGUAAGCUGGGGCAGUAAUUAUUUUUCAACUGAACAAAAAAAGUGCAUUCACGGUAACUUUACACAUACCAUGAUCUGUGCAAUGCUUGAAUGCAUUUUCUAGUCAACUAUAUGCACACAUAGAAGCAUGCUACGCCUGUGAGUACUAGCAAGUACGUCUAGUGAUGGGAUGAUGAUACCUCAAGGAGUGUAUUGACACACUACACAAACUGUGUAGGCACUGUAUUGACACUGUGUUGGUCGCUCAAUAGUGACCCCUGCAGUAGUUAUAAAAUCAUUGCAGGUAAAUAAAAUGAAAAUAAGAUCGAAAAGCUAACCUGCUGCAAACGCAACAUCAGCCUGUGAAAUAGUUAAUCGCCAGUCCUCUUAUUUAAAAUAUGAUCUCAUCAUUGCAUAAUUUCAUGUGCUCAAUUUGUGUGUUGAGUUAAGCUGUUCA